rnacentral:rRNA from 1 species
UACGUAGGUGGUUCCGUGUGUCGGGUGUGAAAUCCCACAGCUCACCUGUGGAACUGCAUCCGAAACUGCGGGGCUUGAGUGCAGGAGGGGAGAGCGGAAUUCUUGGUGUAGCGGUGAAAUGCGUUGAUAUCAAGAGGAACACCGGUGGCGAAGGCGGCUCUCUGGAAUGUUACUGACACUGAGGUACGAAAGCUGGGGGAGCGAACA